ACAACAAGUGAACUAUAAACGUAAACGUGCUUCAUCCAAACUAUUUUAAUAAUUAAAACACUGAGAUAACGUAAAGAUAAGUUAUACAAAUAAUUAUUUUAAGGAUAGAAUCGGUAAAAUAGUUCUUGUUAUGUUUGUGUUUUCAGUAUCUAUUUUAAGAAUUAUUAGGUUCGAGAAUUAUCUAGACUUGGUGGUUCAGGAGUAGCACAAAGUACAAGGAAAGUGCUUUAUAAGGUUCUGGGCAAUGAAAUUGCACAAAAAUAUUCUUGGGAUGGGGCCAAACAGAAGAGAAGUUUGAAAUCAUUGUUAGUGGCCAAAAGCAAUUUUAGACUCCAUGAAAGGUCAAUUUCAAAAGUCAAAAGAAACCGAAAUUAUCAAUAUAAUUAAAAUAUGGCUUGUAAAAAC
rnacentral:lncRNA from 1 species